rnacentral:lncRNA from 1 species
UUCAAGUUUUCGUACAUGGCUUAAAGCCUUAUCGGAUAAAUGUUUUUUGUCAUAUUGAAAUUUCCCGUUUUAGUAACAACAAUUCCCAAAUAGUUAUAUUGUUUUAUCAUCUCAAUGUUAGUAUCAUUGUAAGAAAAUCGGAGAUUUUUUGGCUUCCGUCCAAAAAAAAACCUCACUAAGACUUUAAUUUUGACAACUUUCCUUUCAAGUUCCAAGCCUUACAAUAAUCAUGGAAAGCAUUGAGUUGAGUCUGCAGGUCCUGUGCUGUUUCAGCCAACAACACCGUGUCAUCUGCAAACAAUAUAACAAAACACUUAAGAUAUAUUUCUAAUUCUCUUUCCAGAUCUUCUGGUAUAGUUCUGUUAAGUCAUGUAAUAUUUCUAGUCACUAAGAAAUUAUUUUAGUCAAUCAAAAGUAAAUAAAAUAGGAAAGGUGAUAAGUUUUCUCCUUGUCGAACACCAUUGUCACAAGCAAGCAAAGUAUUCCGAAUUAUAAUUAC